CUGAACACUAUAUAAGACCUGAUCAUACCUCAACUAGGGCAAUAUAAUAAGGUUGAACAGAGGAUACAGACUGCAACAGACUGAGAUGAUUGUGGGAAUAAUACUAUGCCAGUUAUAUUCCCUAUAUAAAUAUGUGUGGCAACACCUGCAUCUAUCUUGGUGUGAUGGUUGCCCUGAUGCUGUAGGCAUGUCCCCAGAGGCUUAUCCAUUUCUUUCAUUAUUAGCCUUCUUCAAGUGCAACCAAACCAUUUUAUUUAAGGUAUGCUUUUGAAGAACGAUGAUAACCUGUCUUGCCGUUAUUGAUGAGAAUUGUCUUCUCCUGUUCUGCUGGUUUUAAAUGCAUAUUGUAAAUCAUUCAGAAUCUUGGAAUUGAGGUGGUACGUAAGUAACAUGAGACAACAUAUCAAGAAAAACUCUAUUCCAGUUCUACUUGUUCUUGGAAAGUUGUC